rnacentral:rRNA from 1 species
GUCGAGCGGCAGCGACAACAUUGACCCUUCGGGGGAUUUGUUGGGCGGCGAGCGGCGGACGGGUGAGUAAUGCCUGGGAACAUGCCUUAGUGUGGGGGAUAACCAUUGGAAACGAUGGCUAAUACCGCAUAAUCUCUACGGAGCAAAGAGGGGGACCUUCGGGCCUCUCGCGCUAAGAUUGGCCCAGGUGGGAUUAGCUAGUAGGUGGGGUAACGGCUCACCUAGGCGACGAUCCCUAGCUGGUCUGAGAGGAUGAUCAGCCACACUGGAACUGAGACACGGUCCAGACUCCUACGGGAGGCAGCAGUGGGGAAUAUUGCACAAUGGGGGAAACCCUGAUGCAGCCAUGCCGCGUGUGUGAAGAAGGCCUUCGGGUUGUAAAGCACUUUCAGCAGUGAGGAAGGCGGUAUCGUUAAUAGCGGUAUCGUUUGACGUUAGCUGCAGAAGAAGCACCGGCUAACUCCGUGCCAGCAGCCGCGGUAAUACGGAGGGUGCGAGCGUUAAUCGGAAUUACUGGGCGUAAAGCGCAUGCAGGCGGCUUGUUAAGCCAGAUGUGAAAGCCCGGGGCUCAACCUCGGAAUCGCAUUUGGAACUGGCAGGCUAGAGUCUUGUAGAGGGGGGUAGAAUUUCAGGUGUAGCGGUGAAAUGCGUAGAGAUCUGAAGGAAUACCGGUGGCGAAGGCGGCCCCCUGGACAAAGACUGACGCUCAGAUGCGAAAGCGUGGGGAGCAAACAGGAUUAUAUACCCUGGUAGUCCACGCCGUAAACGAUGUCUACUUGGAGGUUGGUGUCUUGAACACUGGCUUUCGGA